GAGCAGCGCAUAGAGCCAUUCAA
rnacentral:siRNA from 1 species